CGGCGGACGGGUGAGUAACACGUGGAUAACCUACCUAUAAGACUGGGAUAACUUCGGGAAACCGGAGCUAAUACCGGAUAACAUGUUGAACCGCAUGGUUCAACAGUGAAAGACGGUCUUGCUGUCACUUAUAGAUGGAUCCGCGUCGCAUUAGCUAGUUGGUAAGGUAACGGCUUACCAAGGCAACGAUGCGUAGCCGACCUGAGAGGGUGAUCGGCCACACUGGAACUGAGACACGGUCCAG
rnacentral:rRNA from 1 species